rnacentral:misc_RNA from 1 species
GAUGAAGAACGUAGCGAAAUGCGAUAAGUAGUGUGAAUUGCAGAAUUCAGUGAAUCAUCGAAUCUUUGAACGCACAUUGCGCCCCUUGGUAUUCCAUGGGGCAUGCCUGUUCGAGCGUCAUUUGUACCUUCAAGCUCUGCUUGGUGUUGGGUGAUUGUCUAUCUUUAUAGACUCGCCUUAAAGUCAUUGGCAGCCGGCAUAUUGGCCUGGGAGCGCAGCACAAGUCGCGCUUCUUGUCAUGAAUGUUGGCGUCCAGUAAGUCUACAUAUUUUGCUCUUGACCUCGGAUCAGGUAGGGAUACCCGCUGAACUUAAGCAUAUCAAUAGCGGAGG